GGGUCAGUAGGUUGGUCGUGCCACCGGUACGUACUGGUCUCACUGAUUCCUCCUUCCUGAAGAACCGUAAUGCCAUUAAUUUGGUGUUGCGGGGAAACAGGACUGUUACUUUGAAAAAAUUGGAGUGUUUAAAGCAAGCUAACGCUUGAAUACAUUAGCAUGGAACAAUGAAAUAGGACGAUCGAUCCUGUCUUGUUGGUUUCUAGGAUUGACGUA
rnacentral:rRNA from 1 species